rnacentral:sRNA from 1 species
GCGCCGGGAGCAUUCAAUAUCUCCCUUAUCCUGACUUGGUGGGAGGAUCAGCGUAGCCAUUGACCCCAGGGAAGAGGCCUGCCCUAUCUGUUUGCUACAGGAGACCUUUGAGGACGUAUUCUCUGACCGCUCCCUUCGCAAAGUGCCCUGGUACGUGCUGGCCGGAAACCAUGACCACCUUGGCAACGUCUCUGCCCAGAUUGCAUACUCUAAGAUCUCCAAGCGCUGGAACUUCCCCAGCCCUUUCUACCGCCUGCACUUCAAGAUCCCACGGACCAAUGUGUCUGUGGCCAUUUUUAUGCUGGACACUGUGACACUAUGUGGCAACUCGGAUGACUUCCUCAGCCAGCAGCCUGAGAGGCCCCGAGACGUGAAGCUGGCCCGCACACAGCUGUCCUGGCUCAAGAAACAGCUGGCGGCGGCCAGGGAGGACUACGU